AUUGAACGCUGGCGGCAGGCCUAACACAUGCAAGUCGAAAGAGUGGCGGACGGGUGAGUAAUGUCUGGGAAACUGCCUGAUGGAGGGGGAUAACUACUGGAAACGGUAGCUAAUACCGCAUACCAUCAGAUGUGCCCAGAUGGGAUUAGCUGGUUGGUGGGGUAACGGUUCACCAAGGCGACGAUCCCUAGAUGGUCUGAGAGGAUGACCAGCCACACUGGAACUGAGACACGGACCAGACUCCUACGGGAGGCAGCCGUGGGGAAUAUAGAACAAGGGUCGCAAGCCUGAUGCAGCCAUGCCGCGUGUAUGAAGAAGGCCUUCGGGUUGUAAACUACUUUCAGCGGGGAAGCGUUACCCGCAGUAGAAGCACCGGCUAACUCCGUGCCAGCAGCCGCGGUAAUUC
rnacentral:rRNA from 1 species